AUUGAACGCUGGCGGCAUGCCUUACACAUGCAAGUCGAACGGUAACGCGGGGCAACCUGGCGACGAGUGGCGAACGGGUGAGUAAUACAUCGGAACGUGCCCAGUAGUGGGGGAUAGCCCGGCGAAAGCCGGAUUAAUACCGCAUACGACCUACGGGUGAAAGCGGGGGAUCGCAAGACCUCGCGCUAUUGGAGCGGCCGAUGUCAGAUUAGGUAGUUGGUGGGGUAAAGGCCUACCAAGCCUACGAUCUGUAGCUGGUCUGAGAGGGCGACCGACCACACUGUGCGUGAGACACGGCCCAGACUCCUACGGGAGGCAGCGGUGGCGAAUUUUGCGCAAGGGGGGGAACCCGGACGCAGCAACGCCGCGUGAGUGAUGAAGGCCUUCGGGUCGUAAAGCUCUUUUAGUGGGGAAGAAUCCCACCCGGGCUAAUACCUCGGGUGUCUGACGGUACCCACAGAAAAAGUUCCGGCUAACUACGUGCCAGCCGCCGCCGUAAUAC
rnacentral:rRNA from 1 species